UACAGAGGUCCCAAGCGUUGUUCGGAUUCACUGGGCGUAAAGGGUGCGCAGGUGGCAUGGUAAGUUUGAUGUGAAAGCCCCGGGCUUAACCCGGGAAUGGCAUUGAAUACUACUGUGCUGGAGGAUUGGAGGGGGGACUGGAAUUCUUGGUGUAGCAGUGAAAUGCGUAGAUAUCAAGAGGAACACCAGUGGCGAAGGCGAGUCCCUGGACAAUACCUGACACUGAGGCACGAAAGCCAAGGGAGCAAACAGG
rnacentral:rRNA from 1 species